rnacentral:rRNA from 1 species
UACGUAGGGUGCAAGCGUUGUCCGGAAUUAUUGGGCGUAAAGGGCGCGUAGGCGGCCCGCACAAGUCUGCGGUGAAAACCCCCGGCUUAACCGGGGGCCGGCCGUGGAAACUGUCGGGCUAGAGGCCGGGAGAGGGCAGCGGAAUUCCCGGUGUAGCGGUGAAAUGCGUAGAGAUCGGGAGGAACACCGGCGGCGAAGGCGGCUGCCUGGACCGGCCCUGACGCUGAGGCGCGAAAGCUAGGGGAGCAAACAGG